CCGCUCCCAGCUGCGCCAGAGGGGGCGCGGUGUGGAGCGCUCGGCCAGCAUCCCGCCGCCGCCUUCCGCAGCCGGGCCUUGCUCGUGCUCUCGCGAGACGAGCUGUAAUCUCGGCGGGGCUCGAGAGAGGGGCCUGGCAGGAGCGUUCGGAACCCCGGGAAGCAGAAAGGUGUGCUCCGCGUUUCCCGCGCGGGUUCUCCCGCCUCGGCUCUGAGCGGACUGGAGGGGGAGCUGUUGCUGCUGUGGAAAGAAUGGAUUAGGGAAAGACCAGCAUAGAAGCAGGAGACCAGUUGGGAGGCUGAUGCAGUGGUCCAGUUGAUGGAAAAUAAUUGUGAAACUUUCUGAUGGCUGUUUCUGUCGUGACUUGGGAGGCCGCUAGCUGAGAAUAAGGACCAGACAAAAGAGAGAUGGAGCACUGAAGACAUCUUUGACUAUCUAGAUCCAACCGUGUUUGAAGCCAAACAAUCCCUACACUUACACACGUGAUGGGAGUAUACUUCCAUAUCCUCUUUGAAGUUAGAUGUGGAACGGGACCUGCUUUGACCAAUGACAUGGGAGCAGAUAUUUUAAGAGCCAAUACAAAUUCUCCCACUUCUUUCUCUCUCCAUAGCAACCAGCGGUACUCCAGUUAGUGUUUCUCACGUCAGCCUGGUGUCCAGAGUGAGAGUAACGUGGAACAGAGCCCCCAGCUGACCUGUGACGGACACAUAGCAUGAGAAAGAAAUAAACCUUAUUUUUUUCAACUA